GGGCACUCUAAGGAGACUGCCGGUGACAAACCGGAGGAAGGUGGGGAUGACGUCAAGUCAUCCAUGGCCCUUACGGCCUGGGCUACACACGUGCUACAAUGGUCGGUACAAAGGGUUGCCAAGCCGCGAGGUGGAGCUAAUCCCAUAAAACCGAUCGUAGUCCGGAUCGCAGUCUGCAACUCGACUGCGUGAAGUCGGAAUCGCUAGUAAUCGUGAAUCAGAAUGUCACGGUGAAUACGUUCCCGGGCCUU
rnacentral:rRNA from 1 species